CCGGGCACGCUCCCCGCGCCGCUCUGCAGGCUCCCGGAGGCGGCGGCGGCGGCGUCCGCGCUGCUGCCCGAGGAUAAUCCCGACGACGAGUUUCAGAUCUAUAUUGGACUAGAAUUAUUCAGCUCUUCUAGUAGCAUGUCAAAUGCAACAUCCAGGCCAUAUGUUGGGCAUUUUCUAUGUCUCCCUGCUUUCAUCAAAGUAUGCAGUAUGUAUGUACUAUGGACCAAAUUCAUCCCCGAUGUAACUGCAGAAGUCAACAACAUUUUGGAUUUAUUUGGAAAUAUGUAAAAAGCCUAAGUACAAAAGCCAACUGUAAAACUGGAAACCUUUCUGGGAAAUUGCUUGACUCCACAAAGAACAUACAGAUAGACUGUGAGAACUCUGUGCAGAUGAAGAUCUCAAUGUGUUAAUCAGAUGGAAAAG